rnacentral:rRNA from 1 species
AGGAUCAUUACCGAAUUGUCAACAAGAGUUGUUGCUGGCCCCCGUAUGGGGGCAUGUGCACGCUCUGUUUACACAUCCACUCACACCUGUGCACGCUCUGUAGUUCUAUGGCCUGGGGGGCUCUGUCCUCCUGCUGUGGUUCUACGUCUUUACACACACACUGUAAUAAAGUCUCAUGGAAUGUAUGUCGCGUUUAACGCAGUGAAAUACAACUUUCAGCAACGGAUCUCUUGGCUCUCGCAUCGAUGAAGAACGCAGCGAAAUGCGAUAAGUAAUGUGAAUUGCAGAAUUCAGUGAAUCAUCGAAUCUUUGAACGCACCUUGCACCCUUUGGCUAUUCCGAAGGGCAUGCCUGUUUGAGUAUCAUGAACACCUCAACUCUCAUGGCUUGCCGUGAUGAGCUUGGACUUUGGGGGUCUUGCUGGCUUGCAGUCAGCUCCUCUCAAAUAAAUUAGCUUGCCGGUGUUUGGUGGGAUCACAGGUGUGAUAACUAUCUACGCUUGUGGUUUCCCACCAGGUAACCUUCAGCAAUGGAGGUUCGCUGGAGCUCAUAAAUGUCUCUCCUCAGUGAGGACAGAUUUUGACCAUUUGAUCUCAAAUCAGGUAGGACUACCCGCUGAACUUAAGCAUAUCAAUAAGCGGAGGAAAAGAAACUAACAAGGAUUCCCCUAGUAACUGCGAGUGAAGCGGGAAGAGCUC